rnacentral:rRNA from 1 species
GACGAACGCUGGCGGCGUGCUUAACACAUGCAAGUCGAACGGAAAGGCCCUGCUUUUGUGGGGUGCUCGAGUGGCGAACGGGUGAGUAACACGUGAGUAACCUGCCCUUGACUUUGGGAUAACUUCAGGAAACUGGGGCUAAUCCCGGAUAGGAGCUCCUGCUGCAUGGUGGGGGUUGGAAAGUUUCGGCGGUUGGGGAUGGACUCGCGGCUUAUCAGCUUGUUGGUGGGGUAGUGGCUUACCAAGGCUUUGACGGGUAGCCGGCCUGAGAGGGUGACCGGACACAUUGGGACGGGGAUAAGGCCCAGACUCCUACGGGAGGCAGCAGUGGGGAAGAUUGCACAAUGGGCGGAAGCCUGAUGCAGCAACGCCGCGUGCGGGAUGACGGCCUUCGGGUUGUAAACCGCUUUCGCCUGUGACGAAGCGUGAGUGACGGUAAUGGGUAAAGAAGCACCGGCUAACUACGUG